GUAUCGUUGAAGAAGCCGACAUUGUUAUAGGGAAGAUAGGAAGACUGAAUUUUGAUGAAAAUACGCAACAUACUCGAAGUAAAUGAAGCGAUAAAUGGUGCAAAAGUCGCUUAAUACAGUCUUGCAACAUACUACGCAUAAUAUCUUCAGAAAUCUGUUCGAUGUAUUCGGACAGACACGUGUGAUUGCAGAUCGGCUUUCGAGGGAAACAAUGCAUGGCGAUUUGAGCGCGCACCUGCCCAUGCUGUGUCAUUCAUGGUGAUUUCGAAUCGUUCGACUCUUCUCGAGACCGGUAUUAAGGAAGCUGUAUUGUGAUAUUUUUGUGUGUUGCUGUAGUAAACAGACUCAAGCAUGUUCAUCGAAACAUUAGAAUUCACAAUUCCAGUGGAUUUGUGUGACCUAUUUUCCACUUUGAAAAGGGGGCCAAGAUCUAAUCUUGAAUUCCCGGCAUCCGUGAACUCGUAUGGUACAACGCAGGAUGCCAAUAUUCAAGUUGCUUUAAGAUCAAACAAAUUGACGUUCAAAGUGGACGGUGUGUCGUCAAAUUCAAGCAUGAUAUCAAAGAGUGAAUGUAAGACAUUAAAACUCUCAGUGUUCGAUGUGGACUGUUCCUUAGCCCCAGCAGAACAACCGAACAUCAUAAUGUCAAUGUCUGAAAAUAUACAUCAUUCAGUAACUCAUAAGAGAUCGUAUGACUUUUCUGUGCCAGUGUCUUCUCCUGCUCCAAAGAGUCGAAGGAUUUCAGAACCAGUGCAAUCUCGCCACAUUCCUCAACCUCAACCUCAAAACACUUCACGUCCGUCCAACAACUCUGAAUCAAAAUCUGCAAUUGACCCUCCAGUUAAUGUGAAACAAGAACCUGAAGAUCCAGAUUUAAUAGAAAUAGAACCUGACUCUGAAUUGAAUGAUAUCGUGCCAAAGAAAGAGACUCCAUACAUGCAAAUAGACUUCUCAUCAGGUGUACCUCAUACGCAAACGUCCCAAGCAGCUCUAGAUCGACUCUCUCAUCAACAAUCAUCGCAUUCUCAAUCGCCCGCAUCUUCAUCCUCAUCCUUCCAUCAAAACGUUCCACAUGUGCCAGAUUACGCCGAACCCAGUACUAGUCAAGUUCAUCAUGGUGACCAAAGUGCAGAUGACUUUUUAGUGUUUCAAGAAGACAAUGACUAUGGCGACGAUAACGAUAACGAAGCAGAUUACAGUAACGACGGUCACCCGAGUUCAGUCAGUGUUGGUCAGUCUGCCAGAAGGGGGGAGUCCAUAGCAAGACAGGCUUACUUUGGUAGUCUACAGUCCGACCUAGGAGUUGGACAUUCACCUUUCCAUGACUUCCAUAAGAUGAUAAGUCAAGCUUCCCGUGCUCAGUCGGGAUUAGGGGAUAGAAGUGGACCUUCUCUACACCCUGCUAUAAACUGCCCAAUAUGCUUGAAGAUGUUUACCACAAAGAGAGCCAUGCUGGUUCACAAGGCAGCAGUGCAUGACAAGCAGACAUAUUACUGUGUCUGUGGUAAACAGUAUAGGUACGGUCCGGGACUGCUCAGACAUCAUCAAACCUGUGAAUUGUGGAAACAGAUGUCGUCCAGCGAGGCCGGUCACAACGUGCCAUUGGAAUGAUAUCUCGAUUCAUGACAUUCUUUUUGUGCUAUGUGUUUUGUCCUGAUAUCAUCAAAAGAAUUGAGGAAAGAAGGGAGAACCUGUAUCCAUAAUAACCAGCUGGUUACAGACGGAUAGUGAUUCUAGCAGUGUGUGGACAAGAUGCAAUGCCUCAAGCUGGAUUGUGAUGAGCAGCUUGCUAACCUUCCCACCCAAAAAUGAUGGAAAUAUGAUGUUUUUCCGACAUUCGACUUUUGAAGCACUACUGGUGAUUCUGUUUGCUGUGUCAGCACAUUCCAGUGCUUUUGUGAUGUCUAAGUGGUGAACGUCAUCCUGUGCUUAUGUGACAUCAAUUAGUGAACAUCUUCAGCCUGUGCUUAUGUGACGUCAAUUAGUGAACAUCUUCAGCCUGUGCUUAUGUGAUGUCAAUUAGUGAACAUCUUCAGCCUGUGCUUUUGUGACGUCAAUAAGUGAACAUCUUCAGCCUGUGCUUAUGUGACAUCAAUUAGUGAACAUCUUCAGCCUGUGCUUAUGUGAUGUCAAUUAGUGAAUAUCUUCAACCUGUGCUUUUGUGACGUCAAUUAGUGAACAUCUUCAGCCUGUGCUUAUGUGAUGUCAAUUAGUGAACAUCUUCAGCCUGUGCUUAUGUGACGCCUGAGCGAUAAACAUCUCCAGCCUGUCGAGGGCUUUUAUGUUUUACAUUGACCUCAUUGGCUGAAAUCGGCCAACAUUGUGAAGUCAUCCUUUGUCAUAAUGGGGGCGGUCGGGUAGCCUAGUGGUUAAAAGUUGGCUCGUCACAGCUAAGACUCGGGUUCGAUUCCCCACAUGGGUACAAUGUUUGAAGCCCAUUUUCUGGUGUCCCCCGCCAUGAUAUUGCUGAAAUAUUGCUAAAAGGGGCGUAAAACCAUACUCACACACAUUGUCAUAAUGAGAACAGUACUCUGCAUAAUAAUGUUAAGCACAUGUUUUAUGUGUGGUUCUAUGAUGCAGCAUUAAACUCAGAUAAAUUCUUCAACAUGAAUCAUAGAUGAGAGAUCCGUGAAAAUCCAGGGUAGAAUAGAUCUUCAACAACCCAUGCUUGCCGUAAAAGGCGACUAUGCUCGCCGAAAGAGGUGACUAACGGGAUCGGAUGGUCAGGCUCGCUGACUUGGUUGAUGCAUGUCAUCGAUCCCAAUUGCCUGGAUCGAUGCUCAUGAUGUCAGUCAUGCUGAGUGCGGCGUUAAACAACCAACCAACCAACCAUAGAUGAGAAGGAAGGUGAAGUGGUCGUGGUUGAGCCACAGCGGUAAUUGGGCAUGAUCAGUGAGGGAGGUAGCAUUAUGUUCAUUGAAUACAGUAUUCAGUUUAGAGACCCUCAGUUGUUGGAUCAUACAAGCCAAUUGUGAACCAUGGCCAUAGCUCUAAUAGAGAAGGGGGCACGGGUGGCCCAGUCGUCUAACGCGCUGCGAUUUGCUGUGCAGAGUUGCGUCCCUUGGGCACGCCAGAAACCUAUGAUUAUGGGUUCAAAUCCCUAGAUGCCCCG
rnacentral:misc_RNA from 1 species